AGUGAACGCUGGCGGUAGGCCUAACACAUGCAAGUCGAACGGCAGCACAGUAAGAGCUUGCUCUUACGGGUGGCGAGUGGCGGGCGGGUGAGGAAUACAUCGGAAUCUACUUUUUCGUGGGGGAUAACGUAGGGAAACUUACGCUAAUACCGCAUACGACCCACGGGUGAAAGCAGGGGAUCUUCGGACCUUGCGCGAUUGAAUGAGCCGAUGUCGGAUUAGCUAGUUGGCGGGGUAAAGGCCCACCAAGGCGACGAUCCGUAGCUGGUCUGAGAGGAUGAUCAGCCACACUGGAACUGAGACACGGUCCAGACUCCUACGGGAGGCAGCAGUGGGGAAUAUUGGACAAUGGGCGCAAGCCUGAUCCAGCCAUACCGCGUGGGUGAAGAAGGCCUUCGGGUUGUAAAGCCCUUUUGUUGGGAAAGAAAAGCAGCAGGUUAAUACCCCGCUGUUCUGACGGUACCCAAAGAAUAAGCACCGGCUAACUUCGUG
rnacentral:rRNA from 1 species